rnacentral:rRNA from 1 species
UACAGAGGGGGCAAGCGUUGUUCGGAAUUACUGAGCGUAAAGGGCGCGUAGGCGGCCUUCUAAGUCGAACGUGAAAUCCCCGGGCUCAACCCGGGAACUGCGUCCGAUACUGGUAGGCUUGAGACCGGAAGAGGACAGCGGAACUGCGAGUGUAGAGGUGAAAUUCGUAGAUAUUCGCAAGAACACCAGUGGCGAAGGCGGCUGUCUGGUCCGGUUCUGACGCUGAGGCGCGAAAGCGUGGGGAGCAAACAGG